CUGCUUUAUAAAAUCCGCUACAGCUCGCUAUUCUUCUCUUUAAGCGCUGUCUUCUCGGCUGUUCUCUCUUCUCUCCACAAGUGAGGAUGGCACACAACAUUCCAAUGGGCAGAGCGAUCUAGCUCAAGCGAGACUUGGAGGAACUUCUCCACGGCACCGAGGCGGCUUUCAUUCAUCCCCACCCUCCGCCAGCUCGAUCUCGCCGCAGUCCACAGUUCUAUCGACAACGAUGAGCAACUCCAGGCCAACGCUCUCCUACACACCAACGCUGCCAAUGCCAAGCGCUUUGCCACUCGGGUCCUACAGAUCGGCCAGGGUUUCAAGCACGCCAUGUACAAGACUGAGAUGGCUCUCGAUGCUCUGAAGCUGGACUAGAAUCCACUAGGGAUUGUGGAUCCCCAAUCUUCCAUUCGUGCUUCUUUCUUCUCCCUCGAUCGAUUUGCACGGGGGUUUCUUUCCCAAAUUUUCCAGCUACGAGUUUCAUAGCUUAAGAUAUGGGGCCGGCUCUAGAAUAAAAUGCCCGCGUAGAUCAAGGAGCCCGAGGUGGCAACUUCGCCUACUAUGGAGGCCCGGGAGCUAUGCCGUGACCCGUCGAGCUCCAUUUUAUCGAGCACGAAUUCUCCUGCACC